ACAAUUAAAAUAAUUACAUCCAAAAAGAAAAAAAACUUGCCCUACGCACGCCACCCCAACCCUCCCAGCCCGUCUUCAACUCAUCACAAAAUCAAAUUAACCUAAAACCCACAACACUCAUCACCUCCUACUUCAAAUUUGUACGAAUAUUUCUGAAAUUUAAGUCUACCAAUCUUUGAUUUCCAGAAAAUCAACGAUAAAUUCAUGGACUCCUUUUUUUUUUAUAUGGUUGGACAGCGAAGAAAUCAUGGAAGAAAUUGUCAGAAAAAAAAUUGAAUGAAAAGAUGAUGCUGAAAUACUUUGAUAUUGAUUUUAUAAUUGGUACUAGUAGAAAUAAUUAAAGUGUGGGUUGCUAUGGAAUUUAUUGCGACUAAUGUGGAAUUGGUGAAACUGAAUCUGGGUUUGAAGUUUCUUUAUUUUUGUCUACAAAUUUUGGCUUGUAUAUUUUCAGAUCUGGGAUUUGUUUGUUAAAAAAUUGGUGUUUUUCCCUUAAAAGUUUAGUUUUUAGCUCAGUUCAAAGGCUACCUCUUUUCCUCUUCCUGUCAUUGCUGCCCAGUAAUUUUUCUUGUACAGUUGUACAUAUGUAUAUGGAUUCGAAUGUGUAUGUGCUGGUGUUUUUAUUUUGCAGAUUAUGUAGUGAUAUAUGGAUGACUUUGAUUAUAUGGUUCAUUGCGGGUUCGAUUUGGUAGGAGAUGGCAGGAAAAAGGAAGAACGGGCGAAGAAGGUGAUACGUAUAUGGUCAUCGAAGCUGUGGGUUUGGUGAGUUUUCUGGUAGAUUUGACUUGAGGUAGUGGGUGGGGCGGUUUUCUUGUCUCGUUUAUUAUUAUUAUUAUUUAUUUUUUUGUAAUUUCAAGUUCAAUAAAAUACAGAUAAUAUUCAAGUUGG
rnacentral:lncRNA from 1 species